AUUGAACGCUGGCGGCAUGCCUUACACAUGCAAGUCGAACGGCAGCGGGGGAGAAGCUUGCUUUUCCUGCCGGCGAGUGGCGAACGGGUGAGUAAUACAUCGGAACGUGCCCUGUAGUGGGGGAUAACUAGUCGAAAGAUUAGCUAAUACCGCAUACGACCUGAGGGUGAAAGUGGGGGACCGCAAGGCCUCAUGCUAUAGGAGCGGCCGAUGUCUGAUUAGCUAGUUGGUGGGGUAAAGGCCUACCAAGGCGACGAUCAGUAGCUGGUCUGUGAGGACGAUCAGCCACACUGGACUGGGACACGGCCCAGACUCCGACGGGAGGCAGCAGUGGGGAAUUUUGGACAAUGGGCGAAAGCCUGAUCCAGCCAUUCCGCGUGCAGGAUGAAGGCCCUCGGGUUGUAAACUGCUUUUGUACAGAACGAAAAGGUUUCUACUAAUACUAGGAGCUCAUGACGGUACUGUAAGAAUAAGCACCGGCUAACUACGUGCCAGCCGCCGCCGUAA
rnacentral:rRNA from 1 species